GGACAAUUAUAGUUGUAACUUCUACAUACACCGUGCACAUGGAGAAAAAGGUUGUAGUUUUAACAACCACAGCAGCUUACCAGGCCAAUUUCAGAUUACCUUAAAGCACCUGUGUACAAUCACCUGUGUAUCCCAGUGGCCUUCGAGCUGGACCAGCUGCUCCAAUCAGAAAAACAAUUGACUUAACUCUAUGUGUUCAAGAUAACUCUCUGGUAGACCCAGGGAUGCUGAGGAGCUCUGAACCAUUUCUCCUCUGUUUUUGUCUCUAUCUUAUGGCUUUUUAGCAGGGGUC